rnacentral:sRNA from 1 species
UAAAACAAAGCAUUGCGAUGGCCCUAAA